rnacentral:tRNA from 2 species
GCGCCUAUAGCUCAGUUGGUAGAGCAGUGGACUUUUAAUCCAUGGGUCCAGGGUUCGAGUCCCUGUGGGCGCA